AACGAACGCUGGCGGCAGGCUUAACACAUGCAAGUCGAACGCCCUCUUCGGAGGGAGUGGCAGACGGGUGAGUAACGCGUGGGAACCUACCCAGUAGUACGGAAUAACUCAGGGAAACUUGUGCUAAUACCGUAUACGCCUACGGGGGAAAGAUUUAUCGCUAUUGGAUGGGCCCGCGUUGGAUUAGUUUGUUGGUGAGGUAACGGCUCACCAAGGCUACGAUCCAUAGCUGGUCUGAGAGGAUGAUCAGCCACACUGGGACUGAGACACGGCCCAGACUCCUACGGGAGGCAGCAGGUGGGGAAUAUUGCACAAGUGGGCGCAAGCCUGAUGCAGCCAUGCCGCGUGAGUGAUGAAGGCCUUAGGGUUGUAAAGCUCUUUCACCGGUGAAGAUAAUGACGGUAACCGGAGAAGAAGCCCGGCUAACUUCGUG
rnacentral:rRNA from 1 species